rnacentral:lncRNA from 1 species
CCUUGCAACAUUUCCAUUACUUUAGCCAUUGGCGGUCGAUCUAAUGGAUUGGUUUGAAUGCACCAAAGGCUCACUGCAAUCAAUUUCUUUGUUAUUUCUUCUUCCUCUUUUGUUCUUUCUUCAUUAAUAUUCAGGUUCAUAGAUUGAUCAAGAUGCUUAUAAAUCCAUGAGGGGAAAUAUGUUUCACUAGUUUGGGACACUUCAACAUUGAUAUUUUUUCUUCCUCCGACCAUUUCAAGAACCAUCAUUCCGUAACUAUAGACAUCGGAUUUAUGAAGGGUGAGACACUUACGUCGCCUCUUGAUGGGUGGUCGUACAUCCACAUAUGGUCGAGCGUUUCCCUCUGUGAAUUGUAAAUGGCUCUCUGCAUAGCUGGAGAUAAAACCCUCCCCUAAGGGACAAUACUUUCCACUGUUGAGAAACUUGAUUGACAUUCUUAAAGACAAGACUUCGAAAACUUCUCUAAAUAUUUUCAAUCUCAUUUUCACUGAUAUUUUCACUUUCAACAAAAUCAUACACAUUGUCCAUGUGAAUAAACACCAAGCCAUAUGCAUUUGUUAAUUUUCCAAUUUGGCAGGUAGUAUUAAAAAGUAUUGUAAAAAAAACCUAUCAAAUUUUAUGUUACGUUUCGAAUGAUAGUUUGUUUAAUCAAUUAUAGAUUCUAUUAGAAAUCAUCAAAUAGAUACUCAUAUAUUCUGCAUGCCCUUAUUUGUAUUUUUCCAUAUUUAUAACUCUCUUAAAUUCACGAACACUACAUGUUUAAUAGAUUUAAAAAAAAAUAGACACAUGUUUAAUGAACAAUUUCCACAAAAAUGUUUAAGUAGGCCGUGGGGGAAGUUCCAAUGAUUGAAGGCUUCCUUGCAACAUUUCUAAUACUCUAGUCAUUGAUGGUCGAUCUAAUGGAUUGGUUUGAAUGCACCAAAGGCUCACUGCAAUCAAUUUCCUUGUUAUUUCUGCUUCCUCUUCUGUUAUUUCUUCAUUAAUAUUCAGGUUCAUAGAUUGAUCAAGAUGCUUAUAAAUCCAUGAGGGGAAAUAUGUUUCACUAGUUUGGGACACUUCGACAUUGAUAUUUUUUCUUCCUCCGACCAUUUCAAGAACCAUCAUUCCGUAACUAUA